AUGGUGGGGCAGGGACCUUUCCUGGACCAGGGACCUUUCCAGGGAUCUCUCCUGGAUCAGGGAUCUCUCCUGGGCCAGGGAUCUCUCCUGGGGCAGGGACCUUUCCAGGGAUCUCUCCUAGAUCAGGGAUCUCUCCUGGAUCAGGGAAUCACUCCUGGAUCAGGGAUCUCUCCUGGAUCAGGGACUUUUCCAGGGAUCUCUCCUGGAUCAGGGAUCUCUCCUGGAUCAGGGACCUUUCCAGGGAUCACUCCUGGAUCAGGGAUCUCUCCUGGACCAGGGACGUUUCCAGGGAUCUCUCCUGGAUCAGGGAUCUCUCCUGGAUCAGAGAUCUCUCCUGGGCCAGGGACCUUUCCAAGGAUCUCUCCUGGGGCAGGGACCUUUCCAGGGAUCUCUCCUGGGCCAGGGAUCUCUCCUGGAUCAGGGAUCACUCCUGGAUCAGGGAUCUCUCCUGGAUCAGGGAUCACUCCUGGAUCAGGGAUCACUCCUGGGCCAGGGACCUUUCCUGGAUCAGGGACCUUUCCAGGGAUCUCUCCUGGAGUGAAUCCUCACAGGCACCAGGGGCAGAUGAUGCCCUGCACACCCAGAGCACCCUCAGCUCAUGCUAACGCUGCAUCCACCAUCCUGGAAAUCUUAUCCCAGCUCAGUGAUCAUCCCAUGAUUCUACACCUCUGGUCCUCCCAGCCCGACGGUGCCUGCUCCAUCCAGCAGGGCACAGAUCUGUUUGGGGGAGGAGAUCCCGGUUUGGGGGAACAAAAACACCACCAGGAUUUUCCAGGGCCGUUAUCUCAUCCGGCUGCGGUGGAACGGAUCCCGGGAAAGCCACGNNNNNNNNNNNNNNNNNNNNAUCUCUCCUGGAUCAGGGACCUUUCCAGGGAUCUCUCCUGGACCAGGGACCUUUCCAGGGAUCUCUCCUGGAUCAGGGAUCUCUCCUGGAUCAGAGAUCUCUCCUGGGCCAGGGACCUUUCCAAGGAUCUCUCCUGGAUCAGGGAUCACUCCUGGAUCAGGGAUCUCUCCUGGGGCAGGGACCUUUCCAGGGAUCUCUCCUGGAUCAGGGAAUCACUCCUGGAUCAGGGAUCUCUCCUGGAUCAGGGACUUUUCCAGGGAUCUCUCCUGGAUCAGGGAUCUCUCCUGGAUCAGGGACCUUUCCAGGGAUCACUCCUGGAUCAGGGAUCUCUCCUGGACCAGGGACGUUUCCAGGGAUCUCUCCUGGAUCAGGGAUCUCUCCUGGAUCAGAGAUCUCUCCUGGGCCAGGGACCUUUCCAAGGAUCUCUCCUGGGGCAGGGACCUUUCCAGGGAUCUCUCCUGGGCCAGGGAUCUCUCCAGGAUCAGAGAUCUCUCCUGGAUCAGGGACCUUUCCAGGGAUCUCUCCUGGAUCAGGGACCUUUCCAGGGAUCUCUCCUGGGUCAGGGAUCACUCCUGGAUCAGGGAUCACUCCUGGGCCAGGGACCUUUCCUGGAUCAGGGACCUUUCCAGGGAUCUCUCCUGGAGUGA
rnacentral:lncRNA from 1 species